rnacentral:rRNA from 1 species
UUGAAAGGGAAACGAUUGAAGUCAGUCAUACCAACGGGAAAUCAACCUUUUGAGCUCGGUCUCGUGGGUUUUGAAGAGUUUCAAAGCCUUCGGAUUCGCGGGAUUGGGAUCUCUUGGUGUACUUUUUCGUACGGUUAGUCAACAUCGGUCUUGAAUGUCAUAAAAUGACUGGAGGAAUGUAGCUUCGAUCUCGUAUUGAAGUGUUAUAGCCUUUGGUAGAUGUGAUGUUUGAGACCGAGGAUUGCAACGGAUACCCUUCAGGGCUAUUCGUCUGAUCUCUGGUACGUUGCCUUGAUGUUGAAAGCUUGCUUAUGAUGUUAGGGUAUUACGGUCAAAAGGUUAGAACGAAUUACAUUCGUUAAGGAUGUUGACGUA